GAGGUAUAUAGGAGGAAAGAGGGAUGGGGGAGAGAGGUAUAUAGGAGGAAAGAGGGAUGGGGGGAGAGAGGUAUAUAGGAGGAAAGAGGGAUGGGGGAGAGAGGUAUAUAGGAGGAAAGAGGGAUGGGGAGAGAGGUAUAUAGGAGGAAAGAGGGAUGGGGGAGAGAGGUAUAUAGGAGGAAAGAGGGAUGGGGAGAGAGGUAUAUAGGAGGAAAGAGGGAUGGGGGAGAGAGGUAUAUAGGAGGAAAGAGGGAUGGGGGAGAGAGGUAUAUAGGAGGAAAGAGGGAUGGGGGAGAGAGGUAUAUAGGAGGAAAGAGGGAUGGGGGAGAGAGGUAUAUAGGAGGAAAGAGGGAUGGGGGAGAGAGGUAUAUAGGAGGAAAGAGGGAUGGGGGAGAGAGGUAUAUAGGAGGAAAGAGGGAUGGGGGAGAGAGGUAUAUAGGAGGAAAGAGGGAUGGGGGAGAGAGGUAUAUAGGAGGAAAGAGGGAUGGGGGAGAGAGGUAUAUAGGAGGAAAGAGGGAUGGGGGAGAGAGGUAUAUAGGAGGAAAGAGGGAUGGGGAGAGAGGUAUAUAGGAGGAAAGAGGGAUGGGGAGAGAGGUAUAUAGGAGGAAAGAGGGAUGGGAGAGAGGUAUAUAGGAGGAAAGAGGGAUGGGAGAGAGGUAUAUAGGAGGAAAGAGGGAUGGGGAGAGAGGUAUAUAGGAGGAAAGAGGGAUGGGGAGAGAGGUAUAUAGGAGGAAAGAGGGAUGGGGAGAGAGGUAUGUAGGAGGAAAGAGGGAUGGGGGAGAGAGGUAUAUAGGAGGAAAGAGGGAUGGGGAGAGAGGUAUAUAGGAGGAAAGAGGGAUGGGAGAGAGGUAUAUAGGAGGAAAGAGGGAUGGGAGAGAGGUAUAUAGGAGGAAAGAGGGAUGGGAGAGAGGUAUAUAGGAGGAAAGAGGGAUGGGGAGAGAGGUAUAUAGGAGGAAAGAGGGAUGGGAGAGAGGUAUAUAGGAGGAAAGAGGGAUGGGGAGAGAGGUAUAUAGGAGGAAAGAGGGAUGGGGAGAGAGGUAUAUAGGAGGAAAGAGGGAUGGGGAGAGAGGUAUGUAGGAGGAAAGAGGGAUGGGGGAGAGAGGUAUGUAGGAGGAAAGAGGGAUGGGGGAGAGAGGUAUAUAGGAGGAAAGAGGGAUGGGAGAGAGGUAUAUAGGAGGAAAGAGGGAUGGGAGAGAGGUAUAUAGGAGGAAAGAGGGAUGGGAGAGAGGUAUAUAGGAGGAAAGAGGGAUGGGGAGAGAGGUAUAUAGGAGGAAAGAGGGAUGGGGAGAGAGGUAUG